CGAACGCUGGCGGCGUGCUUAACACAUGCAAGUCGAACGAUGAAGGAGGAGCUUGCUCCUCCGGAUUAGUGGCGAACGNGUGAGUAACACGUGAGCAAUGUGCCCUUGACUCUGGAAUAAGCGCUGGAAACGGCGUCUAAUACCGGAUACGACCCUCGGAGGCAUCUCCAGGGGGUGGAAAGAACUUCGGUCAAGGAUCAGCUCACGGCCUAUCAGUUAGUUGGUGAGGUAACGGCUCACCAAGACGACGACGGGUAGCCGGCCUGAGAGGGUGACCGGCCACACUGGGANUGAGACACGGCCCAGACUCCUACGGGAGGCAGCAGUGGGGAAUAUUGCACAAUGGGCGCAAGCCUGAUGCAGCAACGCCGCGUGAGGGACGACGGCCUUCGGGUNGUAANCCUCUUUUAGCAGGGAAGAAGCGAAAGUGACGGUACCUGCAGAAAAAGCACCGGCUAACUACGUGCCAGCANCCGCGGUAAUACGUAGGGUGCAAGCGUUGUCCGGAAUUAUUGGGCGUAAAGAGCUNGUAGGCGGUUUGUCACGUCUGCUGUGAAAUCCCGAGGCUCAACCUCGGGCUUGCAGUGGGUACGGGCAGACUAGAGUGCGGUAGGGGAGAUUGGAAUUCCUGGUGUAGCGGUGGAAUNCGCAGAUAUCAGGAGGAACACCGAUGGCGAAGGCAGAUCUCUGGGCCGUAANUGACGCUGAGGAGCGAAAGCAUGGGGAGCAAACAGGNUUAGAUACCCUGGUAGUCCAUCCCGUAAA
rnacentral:rRNA from 1 species